AGAUGGCAGGUUGAAUAAAGAGAAGCUAGUGAUGUGGGGGUUCUCUCAUAACCCUCAGUCCCCAGGUGGGUAGAUGGCAGGUUGAAUAAAGAGAAGCUAGUGAUGUGGGGGUUCUCUCAUAACCCUCAGUCCCCAGGUGGGUAGAUGGCAGGUUGAAUAAAGAGAAGCUAGUGAUGUGGGGGUUCUCUCAUAACCCUCAAUCAUAAAUGUAUAAUUAUUAUGUAAUUUACACAAAACAUUAAGGACACCUUUUCUUUCCAUGACAAACUGACCAGGCGUAACUCAAUAUUAGGAAGGUAUCCUUAAUAUUUUGUCCACUCAGUGGCUCUGACCCUUUACGUAACAGUCAAUCCUCUUUUCCAGGAAACCUUCCUUAAAUUUCCCCAAAUACUUCCACACUAACCCUCAGUCCCCAGGUGGGUAGAUGGCAGGUUGAAUAAAUAGAAAACAAUAGGCUACAUAAAACAAUCCAUAAAUGUAUAACUAUUAUGUAAUUUACACAAAACAUUAAGGACACCUUUCUUUCCAUGACAAACUGACCAGGUGUAACUCAAUAUUAGGAAGGUAUCCUUAAUAUUUUGUCCACUCAGUGGCUCUGACCCUUUACAUAACAGUCAAUCCUCUUUUCCAGGAAACCUUCUUUAAAUUUCCCCAAAUACUUCCACAUUGAUACUCUCUCACUGCUGCUCCAGGGCCUCUUGGGUUGAGGAGUCAUUCUCUUCUAACCUGAUCACAGCUGCUCCAGGGCCUCUUGGGUUGAGGAGUCAUUCUCUUCUAACCUGAUCACAGCUGCUCCAGGGCCUCUUGGGUUGAGGAGUCAUUCUCUUCUAACCUGAUCACAGCUGCUCCAGGGCCUUUUGGGUUGAGGAGUCAUUCUCUUCUAACCUGAUCACAAACAAAGACAAGAUUCAAACAAAUAAACAUGAUGGUCCAACAUAAUGGGGGG
rnacentral:lncRNA from 1 species